rnacentral:rRNA from 1 species
GAGGAAUAUUGGUCAAUGGACGCAAGUCUGAACCAGCCACGUCGCGUGAAGGAAGACGGCCCUACGGGUUGUAAACUUCUUUUAUACGGGAAUAAAGUGCCCCACGCGUGGCGUUUUGCACGUACCGUACGAAUAAGCCACGGCUAACUACGUGCCAGCAGCCGCGGUAAUACGUAGGUGGCAAGCGUUGUCCGGAUUUACUGGGUGUAAAGGGCGUGUAGCCGGGAAGGCAAGUCAGAUGUGAAAUCUGGAGGCUCAACCUCCAAACUGCAUUUGAAACUGCUUUUCUUGAGUGUCGGAGAGGUAAUCGGAAUUCCUUGUGUAGCGGUGAAAUGCGUAGAUAUAAGGAAGAACACCAGUGGCGAAGGCGGAUUACUGGACGAUAACUGACGGUGAGGCGCGAAAGCGUGGGGAGCAAACA